CGCCUGUUUAACAAAAACAUUUCUUUUUGGUUAUUUGAAAGGUAUACCCUGCCCUAUGAGGUUUUAAAUGGCUGCAGUAUAUUGACUGUGCAAAGGUAGCAUAAUAAUUAGUUUCUUAAUUGGGAUCUGGUAUGAAUGGGUGAAUGAGAAAUAUAUUUUAUUAAUUAAGUUUUAAAAUUUAAAUUUUAAGUGAAAAUGCUUAAUUUUCUUUAGGGACGAUAAGACCCUAUAGAACUUUAUAUUAAUGUUAUUAUUAAACUUUUGUAAUUACAGUUUAUAUUAGUUUAAAUUAUUUUGCUGGGGUGGUUAAUAAAUUGUCAACUUUAUUUUUUAAAAUCAUUCAUUUAUGAAAAUUUUGAUCUUUAAUAGAAAUUGUAAGGUAAAGUUACCUUAGGGAUAACAGCGUAAUUUAUAUGGGGAGUUCAUAUCUAUAUAUAAGUUUGCGACCUCGAUGUUGAAUUAAGGUAAUUUAAAGACGAAGAAUUCUUUAUGUUAAGUCUGUUCGACUUUUAAACCCUUACUUGAUCUGAGUUCAGACCGG
rnacentral:rRNA from 1 species